GCCGGAAUAGCUCAGUUGGUAGAGCGGCGCAUUCGUAAUGCGUAGGUCGCAGGUUCGACUCCUGUUUCCGGCACCA
rnacentral:tRNA from 189 species